rnacentral:misc_RNA from 1 species
GGAAAAAUGUCGCCAUUGCCUUUUCCGGUCUCGUUGUGAGCACGUGCGCUAAUCAUCUCCUCGGUUCUUUCCAUUCGAUUCGACGCAAUAGACGACCGAAGCCAGCUUCUGCCAGCUCCCAUCAAUCAUAAAACGAAAAAUAAAGAAGACGCAAACGACUGAUAUAAAUCAAAGAAUACCAUGGCUGCUAGAUCAAUUCCUUUCCCGGCUCAAAAUCCAACGUAUACAGAGCUCCUCACGGUGAUUGGAAUCCAUUUUUUUGAUGAAUAUCGCACAAAAUACAGCCUGCCAAUGAGCACAAUCGAUGAUAUAAUUGCAAAAACAUGGAGAAGACAGCUAAAAUCGUCGGAGCGUUUAGCGGUCUUCAGUUUCCUCCGGCAUCAUGGGGAAGAAAAUAUACUCAACAUUGAAAUUUAUGAAACCAAGAAAUAAGAUCGAGGAGAAAGUUGAAAACAAAUCGGGCGGACAAGCGGAAAAAGCCCGAAAAAAAAUGAAAAAAAAAGUGCAAAAAAAUUGGAAUUAUUUGUCAUCGUCAACAAAAUUCAUUCAAGAGGAUCACAUUUCAACUGCAGUCUUCAUUCCAAGUCGGUGAACUUGUUCCGGCAAGGAUCAGGAAUCGCCUACGUCUUCAAAAUUUUAAUAUGAAAUUUAUGAAUAAGGUGACAACCAGUGGAAACCUCGCUACGCCCAGAAAAAUUUCCACACACGCAAGAGGAGCGUAACGCGAGAGAGAAAAUGGGGAUUCCGAGUUUGCGAGGGGGAGAUUUACCUUGCGGGACCGGAAUUCGUGAGUCGACUUUAUCAGUGUUAAAAUCGGGUCGAAGCGUGCCCGAGAACAGCACAACAGCUCGCACCGAGAGCAAAAGGGUUGAAAAAUGUGAGGCGUGCCCGAGAACAGCACUACAGCUCGCUCAAAAGGAAGGAUCAAGGAUGACAAGGCGUGCCAGAGAACAGCACAACAGCUCGCCAAUGAAGCUGCCUUCGGGAGUAUCCGUGUUCUCAAAAACGGCCGGAGUUCGACUGGCUAGCUGCGGAGAAAUUCGGGAACUGACUGGUGGGAAGCUGGAUCGUCCUUUAUGUAGGCCGACGAAGAUUCCACGCACACACGCGCGCGGACUGGCCCAUGACGUCACACUGCUGGAGCUUCCCUGCGUUGACUUCGGAUCGUCUGUGUAAGUGGUGGUGACACACGGAUGGAAGGCACGUUCGCUCAACGCUGAAAUACUACUACUACUACUACGAUCCAAAGUCUCUUUCACGUAAGUAUAUAAAACUCUUUUUCUAAGUCAUUGGUUAAUUAAUUCGAAAUUAAUUAAGCAUUGAUUUUUACAUUUUCAGGUUUAGGUUUAGGUAAGUAUAUAGUUUUAAGUUUAAUUUUAAGUCUAGAUUUAAUUAGUUCUAAGUCUAGAUAUUGAAUUCUGUAAAUAAUUGUAAUAGUUCGAAUGUGAGCACUUUUCCCACUUCGUUUAAGCGUAGUAAUCCCCAAAUGUACGCGAUUAUAAUUCGCGUUUUCAAAAGAAAAUGUUUUCCAAAAAAUUAAAUUGUUUAUUAAUAAUAAUAAUUGUUUUUUUAUAUCCCAAAAUUAAAGAUUAUAGAUUACUGUUACUAACAAAACAUAACCAUGGACAAAUGCGUUUGAUUUUCAGUUCUUUCCGCGGGUAGCUGACGAUUCCGCGGUUUCUCGCGGUUUUCCGCGGUUUUUCGCGGGCCGAUUUCCGGCGAGCGGACAAACGCAAUCGGGUCGUGUGGGUACUCAUUUUACAGGAUUCCGCGAGACGAAGCGAUUGGUGAUGUUUUUGGCUACAAGCGACUUUCUUUAUCUAUUUUUCGUCUCCGCUUCAUCGCUGCGACUCGUUUAUGUCUACAGGGCUUUCCAUGGCAGUUAAGUAUUUACUUAUAUUAUAUAUUCGACCUUUUUAUUCUAAAUAAUCAUUUACUUCAUUUUCUAUGUCGCAGAAGGCGUUCUACGCGGAGGGUACCCCUCUUCGCUGCGUAUCGACGGAUUACAUGGGACAUUCCAUGCGAGUGGGUGUAGACACGAGGACGUAACAGUUCAAAACCCAAUGCAAUUAUUUUUCCGAAUGAAUUAUUCAUCCCGUAAACAACUCCCAUCACGAGCUAAGAUGAUGAAGGUGAAACACGUUGCACCUCCGUCAUUGUUCCGGUAUACUCCAUUUCUUUGAUGCUUCAGUUUGUUCGGAAUGCAUCACUACCGCUCUCAGCACUAAAUUCCAGUGUCCUAUAUGCAAAACACACUUGACACGCAACGGUGUAUAUUGGAACAAACCUUUGAACGGUGUUGUGGAUUAAGUCAGAUUAUCGAUCUCUCAGUCUUCCAACAUUGAUUUUGGAAAUCUAGAAGAGCUGCUGGUGUUUCGAAAACUUAAGGAAUCUAUGGAGUCAAGAACAACAUCGUUAUGCCAGAAUGGAAGGUUUGAAGAUUUGUUAGAUAUCAGCAGUUCCAAAAGUGAUGUUCAGUGUUCGGGUGUCGUUGCCAACGAUAGCCAAAAAAGUCUCGAGACCGACAAUCUACUCCGAAAUAUAUGUGAUGAUCCACAGCUAUCUCCCUUGAUUUCCUUAUCAGAUGAAAGUAGAGAAAGCAUGAAGUUAUUGGACCACAGGCACCCAGAUUUGACUUUGACGGCGAGUAGCCCGUACGGAUCAAUUGAUGAUGAAAGAAGU